UCCAUGCACAUACUGAAUAAAUCACUCCCUUGGGCCUUUGGAUUAUCCAUUUAUUUGGACUUUCCCUCCAAACUGAAUAUAGAAAUAUCCCAUUAAACUAAUUCCAUUGGAAUCGUUUUGUCAACAUUCCUAGGAGACAAGAUCCCAGUUUACCUCACCCAAACACCCAUCCACCCAGCGACCCCCACUCAGCUGAACCCCUGAGGAAACGCAUAGUUGUCAAUAGAGUUUAUUCAGUUCUUCUCCUUUCUUUUGGUUUAAUGCUGCAUUCGUUCAAUCCUCCAUCUCUCCAAAAUUAUCCACCGAAGCCAAUACAAACCCGACCGUUUUUUAAACUAAUUUGAUAAUAAUCCGGUACAUAUCAAGUAUGAGGGGAGGAUAUUUUUAAAUAUCUCAUUCUCAGUUUUACACGUGUGAAGGCUGCUGCUACAUCAGUUGUUCUUACAAAGACCAAUACAACUGAGGUUUCAUUAGAAGUCUUGCAGUUUCACCAUAUGCCGACAUGCGCAAUCUUACCUUUCAUCCGCCAUUACCGGGGCGUCAGUAACACGGGUGUGUACGUGUGUCUUCCGCAGCUGUGUUGAUAUCUGCAGGCGGAAUCGUCCAGCAGCGGCUGGUGACGGCGGAGUCCUCACGGUUCCGUUAAGCAUCUCAGCUCGCCGCAUCCUCCAGAGAGAGCGCGCGAGUGUCGCUAGUUGCCAUGCGCGGAUUCCACAUGAAACUUUACGGUUGUUUAAAAAAUCUAAACCAAUAAUGUUUAUUGCUUGACUUAGGCUACUAGAGGUCUAGGUCGGUAUAAUUUAUUUUAUGUAGCUAUCUAAUAGGCUUGUCUUCGUUCACAUAUGUUUGUUACAGAUGUUUGUGAUUUGUAACUUUUUGCAUGUCAUGUCUUUCAAGGGAAAUACAAACUCAGACCUGUUUCUUUAGAGUUCACAGUAGCUAAUCAAUAUGAAUAUUAUCAGCAGUCAUCAUUGCAGGAAAAUGUGGGAGGAAAAUGUAUUGCUCCAUCUCCUGGUUAUAAUCAGGCAGUGCAGAAAUUUGUGUUGUCUGUUAGAUUCGUUUAAAGAUGAUAAACACGAAAAUCCUGCAUGGUUUGUGUCAAUUGACACAAGAUUUAUUCGUUUUUAUGAAACUAUUUGACAAUAAAUAAAUAAAAAGCCAACUAAUAUGAAGGCCGUAUAGAUAAGAAAAGAGAAAAUAUAGGCUAUAAGAAAUAAAUAUAUAAAAUUAAAUUAAAUCUAAGAGCUACAGAAAACCUUUUUUUUCUUUUCUUUUUGUUGUCUUGGCAAUUCGUUCUCUGUUAUAACAAUCUUUUGUUUGUUUGUUUUUAAUUGAGGCAAUAUUUGAGGUUUUACACUCACAGUUGUUUAAAAAAAGGUGAUUAUUUGAAGUCAUAUUUUAUAUGUUUUAUAGCGCUAGAUUCUUGAAGAUCAAUAGAAUUUUUUUAUCGUUAAUGCAAUAAAGUUACCUUUUAUUUAAACAUAAGCACAACAUUAUUAAAUUGUUGUCCUCCAGAUUAAAAUUCAAGUAAACUCAUAUUGUUAUUAAUAUGUUUGUUAGUUGAACAAGGGAACACAAUCAAAAUCUGAAUGCUUUAAGAGUCAACUAUUCACGGAAGUUAGCUUUUAACUGAAAGACUGAAGGUUUAUUCUCAAGACUAGAGUACUUUUCAAAAAUGUAAGGUUGGGAAAAAUGGCCACAUUUAUAUCGAGGCUGUCACGUGUAUUUUUAUACAAUUGAAUGAUUACAAUAUCCGUAAUAUUGUAGCCGUUGGCCAAAACAAUUUUUAGAAUGUUUGCUAGCUCUUUGAGGUUCUGUUCGUCAUAAUUGUUUUACUGUUUGAAUUUUGCUGCAAAGAUUCCAGAUAUGACGUACUGAAGAAUUUGUUAAAAUAGAUCAACGUGUUAAACGAAAUACAAUAAUCGUCAGUAAUUUAAUUAAAAGUGCUGGAGUAAAUGUUGAUUUGUACCCACCCCAUCGAAUGUUUUUUUUAAUGGCUUCUAUAAGUAGCCUAUCUUCAUAUUCUGUAAUAAUCUAUUAACGUCACAAACAGUUUUGGAAGGUAAUGUAAUUGUGUCUUCAUUUAUAUCUCUAUUGCAGACAAUAAAAGGAAUUGGUUUCAU